UACAGGUGCCUCCACGGAGGCUCAAAAGGGAAGCCGGUGAGAAACCGGAACUGUGCCCGCAGCUGUGUUAUCCGGAACGGCUCCGCAUGCAUUGCCAUUGGGGGCAACCCCGAGAAGGCCGGGGCCGGGAGAAGUCAGAAGACCUGCCUGCAUC
rnacentral:ncRNA from 1 species